UUCCUAGUGAUUAGAGUUUGAUCAUGGCUCAGAACGUACGCUGGCGGCACGCCUAAUACAUGCAAGUCAAACGAAGUAGCAAUACUUAGUGGCAGACGGGUGAGUAACAUGUAGGUAUCUGCCCUUUGGCCUGGAAUAACACGAGGAAACUUGUGCUAAUACCGGAUAAGUCUUUACGGAGAAAGCUUUAUGCACCAUUGGAUGAGCCUGCACUUGAUUAGUUUGUUGGUGGGGUAAUGGCCUACCAAGACUGUGAUCAAUAGCUGAUUUGAGAGGAUGAUCAGCCACAUUGGGACUGAGACACGGCCCAAACUCCUACGGGAGGCAGCAGUGGGGAAUCUUGCACAAUGGAGGAAACUCUGAUGCAGCGAUGCCGCGUGAGUGAAGAAGGCCUUUGGGUUGUAAAGCUCUUUCGUCGGGGAAGAAAAUGACUGUACCCGAAUAAGAAGGUCCGGCUAACUUCGUGCCAGCAGCCGCGGUAAUACGAAGGGACCUAGCGUAGUUCGGAAUUACUGGGCUUAAAGAGUUCGUAGGUGGUUGAAAAAGUUGGUGGUGAAAUCCCAGAGCUUAACUCUGGAACUGCCAUCAAAACUUUUCAGCUAGAGUAUGAUAGAGGAAAGCAGAAUUUCUAGUGUAGAGGUGAAAUUCGUGGAUAUUAGAAAGAAUACCAAUUGCGAAGGCAGCUUUCUGGAUCAUUACUGACACUGAGGAACGAAAGCAUGGGUAGCGAAGAGGAUUAGAUACCCUCGUAGUCCAUGCCGUAAACGAUGUGUGUUAGACGUUGGAAAUUUAUUUUCAGUGUCGCAGCGAAAGCGAUAAACACACCGCCUGGGGAGUACGACCGCAAGGUUAAAACUCAAAUGAAUUGACGGGGACCCGCACAAGUAGUGGAGCAUGUGGUUUAAUUCGAAGAUACGCGCAGAACCUUACCAACACUUGACAUGUUCGUCGCGACCUUAAGAGAUUAAAGUUUUCGGUUCGGCCGGACGAAACACAGGUGCUGCAUGGCUGUCGUCAGCUCGUGUCGUGAGAUGUUGGGUUAAGUCCCGCAACGAGCGCAACCCUCACUUUUAGUUGCCAUCAUUAAGUUGGGCACUCUGAAAGAACUGCCAGUGAUAAGCUGGAGGAAGGUGGGGAUGACGUCAAGUCCUCAUGGCCCUUACGUGUUGGGCUACACACGUGCUACAAUGGUAUCUACAACAGGAAGCAAGACUGCGAAGUUAAGCAAAUCCUUAAAAGAUACCUCAGUUCGGAUUGCACUCUGCAACUCGAGUGCAUGAAGCUGGAAUUACUAGUAAUCGUGGAUCAGCGUGCCACGGUGAAUGCGUUCCCGGGUCUUGUAGACACCGCC
rnacentral:rRNA from 1 species